rnacentral:lncRNA from 1 species
UUGAGACAGAGUCUCUGGCUCUGUCACCCAAGAUGGAGUGCAAUGGCAAGAUCUCAGCUUACUGCAACAGAGUGAGACUCCAUCUAAAAAAUAAAAAUAAAAAAUAAAUUAAAUUUCUAUUCAGGAGGACUGGUUAGAGCAUAAUUUUUAUCAAAUAAAUAAGGAAUCAGAGAAAGGAACCAUGGAAAGGAGAUAAAAGUACCUGCCCCCCAAAUCUUUUGCUUUAAUGACCUGAGCUAAAUUGCUAUUUUUUUCAAUUAAUUAUUUAUUAAGAGGAGUUAAAGAUUUAUUCUUAAAGUUAUCUUGAUUCCAAAAGCAUUUCACAAACUAGCAGAGAUAAUCUAAUACAAUUAGGACAGAACACAAGAAAAUAGGUGUCAC